rnacentral:misc_RNA from 1 species
UUUUACUUGCCAGAUUGAAAUAAACAAACGUGUUUGUGUUUUGAUGGUGCUUUAAAACUGCAGUUUUGUAUAUAGAUUUAAUUCUAUGAACUUGUCAGUUUCGAAAGAAAGCAAUAAAAAUUGUUGCUUCUUAAGCGCCAUAUUUUCUGUUGUAUAAAUCCCCUUCCCCAAACAAGUAUGUUAUCUAGAGUACAGUUUAUAGCCUCUGGUCCUUGGUCUUGCACAUUUCGAAAUGUACCAUCCUUUUCCAAUCGACUUUCCUGCACAAAAGAAAUGGCUGUUUUUUUCAAACAAUCUUUGUGUCUAGGCGUUCAUGAUACUUUUCGUUGGAAGAGCUCAAAUUCAAACCAAAACUCUUCAGUACCUGAAGUAAAAGAAAAUGAAAAUACAGAACUUACCAUAGGAGGAAAAGUCAAACAGACCGCCAAAGAUGCAAGCUAUCUUGGUAUUAUUAUUGCUGGAAUUGGUGUGACAGGUAUAAUGUUUUAUGCAAUACUGAGAGAGUUAUUUUCUGGACAAAGCCCUAACUCCAUAUACACAGAUGCUUUAAAGAUAUGUCGAAAUGAUAUUCAAGUUGCUGAUACUCUUGGAGAACCAAUAAAAGGAUAUGGUGAAUUAUCUUCUAGGGGAAGACGAAGACAUGUUAGUCAUCUCAAGUAUGAAAAGGAUGGUAAAAAUUAUAUGCGGAUGAAAUUCUAUGUGGAAGGAAGUAGAAGAAAGGGAACUGUUCACUUAGAAGUGGUUGAAGGGUAUUCAUUUCCAUUCCUGUUCUACUAUUUUCCUUAGUCUAUGCAUUGUUGUGGGCUUCUAUCUAGAAAGAGCUCUUUUCAAAAGACCAAAGGCUCAGUCCAUCAGGGUACUUCACAGGAAUACAAUGAAAAGAUUCCUGGAAGAAGAUAUGAGAUAGUCUGUGAUGGACCUGAAAAAUUAAAUUUAAAUGUUAUCGAAAAUUAUAUUAAGUGUAAAAAUUCAUUUUAACUUAAAGGAGAUUUUGUAAGAGUUGGCUGAAGCUUUUAGGUUAGAAAUGAAAGUCUUAGGUAAAUAGGAAGGGUCAUCAAGACCUUCGUUUUCGAUUAAUUUAAAUUCUGGUGGAGGAAAAUGUAAGGAUUUUAUGUUGAUUAAACAAUUAUCAUGAUUUAAA